rnacentral:tRNA from 1 species
ACCUGGGUGGCUCAGUCGGUUGAGCGUCUGACUUCAGCUCAGGUCAUGAUCUCUCAGUUUGUGAGUUCGAGCCCCACAUCGGGCU